UACGAAGGGAGCUAGCGUUGUUCGGAAUCACUGGGCGUAAAGCGCACGUAGGCGGCUUUCUAAGUCGGGGGUGAAAUCCUGGAGCUCAACUCCAGAACUGCCUUCGAUACUGGAGAGCUUGAGUCCGGGAGAGGUGAGUGGAACUGCGAGUGUAGAGGUGAAAUUCGUAGAUAUUCGCAAGAACACCAGUGGCGAAGGCGGCUCACUGGCCCGGUACUGACGCUGAGGUGCGAAAGCGUGGGGAGCAAACAGG
rnacentral:rRNA from 1 species